GCACUCCCGGGGCGUCUCUAUCUCAUUGCGAGAGGAGGCGCACCUAUAGCGUACACGCUGAUACCCGAAAGAUGGUGAACUAUGCCUGGCCAGGACGAAGCCAGGGGAAACCCUGGUGGAGGUCCGCAGCGAUUCUGACGUGCAAAUCGAUCGUCGGAGCUGGGUUUAGGGGCGAAAGACCAAUCGAACCAUCUAGUAGCUGGUUCCCUCUGAAGUUUCCCUCAGGAUAGCUUGCGCUCGGACGGAACGAGUCUCAUCCGGUAGAGCGAAUGAUUAGAGGCCUUGGGGUCGAAACGACCUCAACCUAUUCUCAAACUCCAAAUAGAUGAGAACCCUGGCUUUCUUGAAUUAUGAAGCCAAGGGGUUUCGGAUCAGAGUGCCAAGUGGGCCAAUUUUGGUAAGCAGAACUGGCGCUGUGGGAUGAACCAAACGCGGAGUUAAGGCGCCUCAAUCGACGCUCAUGUGAUACCAUGAAAGGCGUUGGUUGCUUAAGACAGCAG
rnacentral:rRNA from 1 species